rnacentral:lncRNA from 1 species
CGCCUUCGCCCGGUAAAGGUGCGCCCCGCGCGGAGCCCCGGGACGCGCUGCAGCGGCGUUAGCGAAAGCAUCUGCUCGGCCCGGCCCCCGCCCCCCGCCGUUCCCGGCCGCUUUCCGCCGCGGCUCCGCUCUCCGCCCCCGGAGCCGCGGGUGCCCGGGGCGCGUCUCGCACCCCCGGAGCGGUGCCCCCGUCGGGAUGCGGGGCUGAUUGCCGCCCCACUGUCCGCCCGGCACCGCGCGGCGCCGCUCCUCCGUUUGGUUCGGUUCGUUUCGUUUUCCC